CACGUAGGCGGAUUGGAAAGUUGGGGGUGAAAUCUCGGGGCUCAACCCCGGAACUGCCUUCAAAACUCCCAGUCUUGAGUUCGAGAGAGGUGAGUGGAAUUCCGAGUGUAGAGGUGAAAUUCGUAGAUAUUCGGAGGAACACCAGUGGCGAAGGCGGCUCACUGGCUCGAUACUGACGCUGAGGUGCGAAAGCGUGGGGAGCAAAACA
rnacentral:rRNA from 1 species